GCUUGCUAGUUGCUGACGAGUGGCGGACGGGUGAGUAAUACUUAGGGAUCUGCCUCUGUGUGGGGGAUAACUAUUGGAAACGAUAGCUAAUACCGCAUAACGUCUACGGACCAAAGAGGGCUUCGGCUCUCGCGCAGAGAGGAACCUAAGCGAGAUUAGCUUGUUGGUGAGGUAAAGGCUCACCAAGGCGACGAUCUCUAGCUGUUCUGAGAGGAAGAUCAGCCACACUGGAACUGAGACACGGUCCAGACUCCUACGGGAGGCAGCAGUGGGGAAUAUUGCACAAUGGGGGCAACCCUGAUGCAGCCAUGCCGCGUGUGUGAAGAAGGCCUUCGGGUUGUAAAGCACUUUCAGUUGUGAGGAAAGGUUAGUAGUUAAUACCUGCUAGCUGUGACGUUAACAACAGAAGAAGCACCGGCUAACUCCGUGCCAGCAGCCGCGGUAAUACGGAGGGUGCGAGCGUUAAUCGGAAUUACUGGGCGUAAAGCGCACGCAGGCGGUCUGUUAAGCUAGAUGUGAAAGCCCCGCGCUCA
rnacentral:rRNA from 1 species